UGAUAAAACUAGCAUGCAACGAAACACGACAGUACAUUUUAGCGACGGAAAAUAGAUGAGAUUAUUUUCCGUCGCUAAAAAUGUACUGUCGUGUUUUGUUGCAUGCUAGUAUUAUU
rnacentral:pre_miRNA from 1 species